CUAAGAAUAUUCCGCAAUGGACGAAAGUCUGACGGAGCGACGCCGCGUGGAUGAAGAAGGCCGCAAGGUUGUAAAAUCCUUUUGCUGGGGAAGAAUAAGUCCAGGAGGGAAUGCCUGGAUGAUGACAUGAACCGGCCAAUAAGCCCCGGCCAACUACGUGCCAGCAGCCGCGGUAACACGUAGGGGGCUAGCGUUGUUCGGAAUUACUGGGCGUAAAGGGCAUGUAGGCGGUUUAGUAAGCUUGGCGUGAAAGACCACAGCUCAACUGCGGGGUUGCGUUGGGAACUGCUGAACUUGAGUUACGGAGAGGGAGCUAGAAUUGCUGGUGUAGGGGUGGAAUCUGUAGAGAUCAGGAAGAAUACCGGUGGCGAAGGCAAGCUUCUGGCCGAUAACUGACGCUGAGGUGCGAAAGUGUGGGGAUCAAACA
rnacentral:rRNA from 1 species